GGACCCGUGGCUCAGUUGGUAGAGCGUCUCGUUUACACCGAGAAGGUCAAAGGUUCGAGUCCUUUCGGGUCCA
rnacentral:tRNA from 1 species